CAACCCACUGUACACCAUGUACUUCAUGACCUCUUAUUAACCAGCAGAUUUGUUUUUCCCAUCUUGGUUGAACUUUCUAGUGGGAAAGGAUUAGGAUUAUACAUGUGCCUUAGCAGCGACGCAGGGGGCAUAACCUAACAAAUGUGUGGGGUCAAUUGGUUUCCCAAAGGGGCGCUACUGAGGAGCUGGCUGACCAAGUCUAGACCAAGACUGCUGAUGCUCAUCGCCGGCUUGAAGAGGCCUCAAGUCACCCUCAUGAGAAGGAAAAGGAUGAAGCGCACGAAAGUAGCAAAGGCCACGUAAGCGAACCAGCAAUCGCCUUCCAUAUUUCAACUGAAUCCUUAACCCCGAGAUGCCUGCUAUAGAAAUGGAAGAGGCUCAAGACACAGAGGAACUGAUUUACCAAUCUGUGUCAUCUCGACGAACUAAAAUAAAAAACGAAGCAAAACAAGGAUGGAAAGCAAAGGUUUCACAAAGAACCCUGGACCCAUUUUUACCCUCUUCCCUGCCAUCUCUAGUUACCACCUCUUUAAAAUACACAUCUCCAAUGGGUAACUUUGCUAUGCUGGGUGUGACUGUACAUUCUUUUCCUCUGCAUUGAUAAAAUACAUGGUGAAACAGAAACGCUUUCUAUUCCUUCACUACCUGUCAGAGAUUUCAAUUUGUUCUGAUUGUGUACUUUUUUUAUUUUUUCAAAGUGCACAUGUUCUAGACUUGUUAUCCAAGAUAGAUUAUAAUUUCUUACACAAGUAUUUACUCCCCUUUUGGACUUUUUCAUAUUUAGUCAUCUGGAGAACUGGUUAAUUGUGUAACUAAUUUUUUUUUAACUGACUUUGAGCAGAAAUCUUGCUCUAUGUAGAAUCAGGUAAGAUUUCAAAUUCUUAUACUGUUCUCUUUGUGGUCAAGUGUGAAAAAAUAAAAGUAUGGAUGAAACUUUC